rnacentral:rRNA from 1 species
UCUUAAGACUAGCCAUGCAUGCCUCGAAUAGAAGAGCAUCUCUCUGAAUCUGCGAACGGCUCCGCAAACCAGUUGUAAACUAUAGCAAGUCCGCCUUGGUGCCGGCCGUAAGGUUGGUGCUGGGGCUACAUGGAUACCCGUGGUAAUUCUGAGGCUAAUACAUGAACGUACCCCCUGAUCAACUGGGUAACCGGGAGGUUGGGGACAGUGCGGUCAGUCGCAGAUUUUGCUGGGAAUAGACGCACUUUCAAACCACCAUACAAGCAGUUGGGGUACCGACCUUCGGGAAGGUGCCCUUUCUGGGUGGGCCUUGCUUUGUGCUUCUGACCUAUCAACUAGAUGGCAGCGUAACGGACAUGCUAUGGUUACAACGGGUACAGAGGAUAAGGGUUCGA